rnacentral:rRNA from 1 species
UACGUAGGCAGCGAGCGUUGUUCGGAAUUACUGGGCGUAAAGAGUGUGUAGGCGGUGUUCCCAGUCUGUUGUGAAAUCUCCCGGCUUAACUGGGAGGGUGCAGCGGAAACUAGAAUGCUAGAGGGUGGGAGAGGUAAGCGGAAUUCCUGGUGUAGCGGUGAAAUGCGUAGAUAUCAGGAGGAACACCUGUGGCGAAAGCGGCGCACUGGACCACAACUGACGCUGAGGCGCGAAAGCUAGGGGAGCAAACAGG